GUCCUGGUGGUCUAGGGGUAUGAUACUUGCUUAGGGUGAUCAACAACAAUGUCUGUCUGCAAGUGGUCCCCGGUUCAAAUCCGGGCCAGGACC